AAAGGUGCAUGAGUGGUGUUUGGUUUUGUACGGGUGGUUGGCUCUUUGCUUGCGCAACAACUUCCACCUGGCAUACCUCUUCGGUCUUGCGUCAAUGCUUGUAUGUGCAUUGAACGCCGAUGGGUUUCUUGUGUUGCAUUCCUAAUUGAUGGUAUCAUUUGAUGAAUUGAUGUCUAUUUUCGUCUUGUGUUGCGCAUGCGAUGUGAGAUGAACCUUAAAGCAACCUUUGUGAUCCACCCUUUUGAUGCACACGCAUUGACUUUGUGGCCCAUUGAGUGUUGCUUGGUCUCAUGGAUAUGGAACCUUGUGUGGGCAUGGGAUCUUUUACUAGUUCCUUGUUUGCCCUAGUUAAGUUUUUCAAAUACGAUUCCUAUCAUUUAACGUGGUAGGCUAUAUCGAAUAUGAAUGCUACCUGGUUGAUCCUGCCAGUAGUCAUAU
rnacentral:misc_RNA from 1 species